GAUGAACGCUGGCGGCGUGCCUAAUACAUGCAAGUCGAGCGAACAGACGAGGAGCUUGCUCCUCUGACGUUAGCGGCGGACGGGUGAGUAACACGUGGAUAACCUACCUAUAAUACUGGGAUAACUUCGGGAAACCGGAUCUAAUCCCGGAUAAUAUAUUGAACCGCAUGGUUCAAUAGUGAAAGACGGUUUUGCUGUCACUUAUAGAUGGAUCCGCGCCGCAUUAGCUAGUUGGUAAGGUAACGGCUUACCAAGGCAACGAUGCGUAGCCGACCUGAGAGGGUGAUCGGCCACACGGGAACUGAGACACGGUCCAGACUCCUACGAGAGGCAGCAGUAGGGAAUCUUCCGCAAUGGGCGAAAGCUUGACGGAGCAACGCCGCGUGAGUGAUGAAGGUCUUCGGAUCGUAAAACUCUGUUAUUAGGGAAGAACAAAUGUGUAAGUAACUAUGCACGUCUUGACGGUACCUAAUCAGAAAGCCACGGCUAACUACGUG
rnacentral:rRNA from 1 species